rnacentral:rRNA from 2 species
GGAUCCAGACUUUGAUUAUGGCUCAGGAUGAACGCUAGCUACAGGCUUAACACAUGCAAGUCGAGGGGCAGCGGUAUCGAAAGCUUGCUUUCGGUAGCCGGCGACCGGCGCACGGGUGAGUAACGCGUAUCGAACCUGCCUCAUACUCGGGAAUAGCCUUGCGAAAGUAAGAUUAAUGCCCGGUGUUUUCAGAGUCCCGCAUGAGGCUUUGAACAAAGAUUUAUCGGUAUGAGAUGGCGAUGCGUCCCAUUAGCUUGUUGGCGGGGUAACGGCCCACCAAGGCAUCGAUGGGUAGGGGUUCUGAGAGGAAGGUCCCCCACAUUGGAACUGAGACACGGUCCAAACUCCUACGGGAGGCAGCAGUGAGGAAUAUUGGUCAAUGGGCGGAAGCCUGAACCAGCCAAGUAGCGUGCAGGAAGACGGCCCUCCGGGUUGUAAACUGCUUUUAGUUGGGAAUAAAACGGGGCUCGUGAGCCCCCUUGCAUGUACCAUCAGAAAAAGGACCGGCUAAUUCCGUGCCAGCAGCCGCGGUAAUACGGAAGGUUCGGGCGUUAUCCGGAUUUAUUGGGUUUAAAGGGAGCGCAGGCGGACCUUUAAGUCAGCUGUGAAAUACGGCGGCUCAACCGUCGAACUGCAGUUGAUACUGGAGGUCUUGAGUGCACACAGGGAUGCUGGAAUUCAUGGUGUAGCGGUGAAAUGCUCAGAUAUCAUGAAGAACUCCGAUCGCGAAGGCAGGCAUCCGGGGUGCAACUGACGCUGAGGCUCGAAAGUGCGGGUAUCAAACAGGAUUAGAUACCCUGGUAGUCCGCACAGUAAACGAUGAAUACUCGCGGUUUGCGAUACAUUGUAAGCCGCCAAGCGAAAGCGUUAAGUAUUCCACCUGGGGAGUACGCCGGCAACGGUGCAACUCAAAGGAAUUGACGG